CGGCUUAAUUCGACUCAACACGGGGAAACUUACCAGGUCCAGACAUAACUAGGAUUGACAGAUUGACAGCUCUUUCUUGAUUUUAUGGGUGGUGGUGCAUGGCCGUUCUUAGUUGGUGGAGUGAUUUGUCUGGUUAAUUCCGAUAACGAACGAGACCUUAACCUGCUAAAUAGCCCAGCUGGCUUUUGCUGGUUGCAGGCUUCUUAGAGGGACUAUCAACAUCAAGUUGACGGAAGUUUGAGGCAAUAACAGGUCUGUGAUGCCCUUAGAUGUUCUGGGCCGCACGCGCGCUACACUGACAGAGCCAGUGAGUUUUUUCCCUUGCCCGAAAGGUCUGGGUAAUCUUGUGAAACUCUGUCGUGCUGGGGAUAGAGCAUUGCAAUUAUUGCUCUUCAACGAGGAAUUCCUAGUAAGCGUGAGUCAUCAGCUCGCGUUGAUUACGUCCCUGCCCUUUGUACACACCGCCCGUCGAUACUACCGAUUGAAUGGCUUAGCGAGGCCUCCGGAUUGAUUUUGGGGAGCCGGCAACGGCACUUCAUUGUUGAGAAGUUGGUCAAACUUGGUCAUUUAGAGGAAGUAAAAGUCGUAACAAGGUUUCCGUAGGUGAACCUGCGGAAGGAUCAUUAUUGAGUUCUUUGAAGUAGAGGCUUUAACAGCUCUGUCUUUGUUUCUGAUGCUGGCAGUGUAAGACCUUCUUUUGCUGCAUGUGCUCGAAGCUAUUUACCAGACAGAAGUUAUACCUCCUGCUUUCAAAUCUGCUCAUAUUGCUCUUUUUUUUAACACCUGUGCAUCAAUAAGCAAAGUCUCAAUCACUUGGCUUUUAGUUCUUGCAAUUGAUGUUGUUUAUGUAUAUUGUAUGCACUCUUCUGAGCCCUUCCGGAUUGGGAAAUGUAUACUAUUGUGGGUCCUGUUAUUAUGAUUGACUUGAGGGAUCGACACAUUCCCAAGUUAGGAAAGUAACAUGGAUCGACAUUGCACAUAAACCUCUACAUCUUCAUAGAGCUGCCUUGCAUGUAAUGUGGACUUUGUCUUAGUUUUAUACAAAUCCCAAUGUCUGUCUUGUAGAAUGAAAUAACAAUGGGAUUUUUAUACAACUUUCAACAAUGGAUCUCUUGGCUCUCGCAUCGAUGAAGAACGCAGCGAAAUGCGAUAAGUANNNNNNNNNNNNNNNNNNNNNGUGAAUCAUCGAAUCUUUGAACGCACCUUGUACUCCUUGGGUUUCCUAUGGAGUAUGCCUGUUUGAGUGUUAUGUUAAUCUCAAUUCCCUCAGUCUUUCUAUAUGAAAGUCUGUCUUGGUGAAUUGGAGUUUGGAGGGAUUAAUGCAGGUUUCUUCUCUUAUCCUCUUCAUGGAUAGAAGAAAUCAGCUCCUCUUAAAAACAUUAGCUUUGGGGGAUGAAGACAACUGCUCUUUUAGCACUGUUCAUUUGCUUAUAAUGUAAUAACUGUUUCAUUGUAGCAUAUCAGUGUGCUUUUGAAUUUAGAGUCUAAUUGUAGCAUUCUCUGCUUCAAAUUUGUCAAGUCUUGCUUGACAGUACAGUUGAUUCUUUGACCUCAAAUCAGGCAGGGUUACCCGCUGAACUUAAGCAUAUCAAUAAGCGGAGGAAAAGAAACUAACAAGGAUUCCCCUAGUAACUGCGAGUGAAGCGGGAAAAGCUCAAAUUUAAAAUCUGGCAGCUAUGCUGUCCGAGUUGUAAUCUGUAGAAGUGUUUUCUGCAUUGGACCGUGUACAAGUCUCUUGGAAUAGAGUGUCAUAGAGGGUGAGAAUCCCGUCCAUGACACGGACUACCAAUGCUUUGUGAUACACUCUCAAAGAGUCGAGUUGUUUGGGAAUGCAGCUCAAAAUGGGUGGUAAAUUCCAUCUAAAGCUAAAUAUAGGCGAGAGACCGAUAGUGAACAAGUACCGUGAGGGAAAGAUGAAAAGUACUUUGGAAAGAGAGUUAAACAGUACGUGAAAUUGUUGAAAGGGAAACACUUGAAGUCAGUCAUAUUCUAUGGGACUCAGCCCAGUCUCUAGGGAUAGGGUGUAUUUCCUACAGGAUAGGUCAACAUCAAUUUUGGUUGAUGGAUAAAGGGGGAGGGAAUGUAGCACCUUUACAGGUGUGUUUAUAGCCUUUCUUCAUAUACAUUGGCUAGGAUUGAGGACUGCAGCAUGCCCUUAAAGGGGACAGGAUUUAUCAUGUUACAUGCUUAGGAUGUAGGCAAAAUGGCUUUAAGUGACCCGUCUUGAAACACGGACCAAGGAGUCUAACAUGCCUGCAAGUAUUUGGGUGGAAAACCCUUAUGCAUAAUGAAAGUGAAAAUUGGGAACCCUCACAAAGGGGGUGCACUGAUGCCUGGCCCUGAUGUUUACUGACGGUGCUACGGUAGAGCAUGUAUGUUGGGACCCGAAAGAUGGUGAACUAUGCCUGAAUAGGGUGAAGCCAGAGGAAACUCUGGUGGAAGCUCGUAGCGAUUCUGACGUGCAAAUCGAUCGUCAAAUUUGGGUAUAGGGGCGAAAGACUAAUCGAACC
rnacentral:rRNA from 1 species